rnacentral:rRNA from 1 species
GACGAACGCUGGCGGCGUGCUUAAUACAUGCAAGUCAACGAUAACCAGGGUGCUUGCAUCCUGGGGAAAGGUGGCGCACGGGUGCGUAACGCGUAGGUAAUCUGCCCUUAGGACUGACAUAACUCCGGGAAACCGGGGCUAAUAUCAGAUAAUGCAGCGGCUCGGCAUCGAGACAGUUGUUAAAUCUUCGGAGCCUAAAGGGAUNAACCUGCGUCCCAUUAGGUAGUUGGUGAGGUAAAUGCUCACCAAGCCUGCGAUGGGUAGCUGGUCUGAGAGGAUGAUCAGCCACACUGGAACUGAGACACGGUCCAGACUCCUACGGGAGGCAGCAGUAAGGAAUAUUGCUCAAUGGGAGAAAUCCUGAAGCAGCAACGCCGCGUGGAGGAUGAAGGCAUAUUUGUCGUAAACUCCUGUAAGAAGGGAAAAAU